GGAAGUCCGGGUUGGGUUUCGGUUAAAACUGGGGUCGGUUGGGACCGUCGGUCCCGAGAGGUUCUUCUCUUAAAGGGACCGCAGGACGGAAGCCCGGGCGCUCGGCUCCCCGCGGAGAUUUCGCUUCUGUGGCCGCGUCCUCCCGUGAUUCGGUUUUGCUUUCAGCUGUCAGAGCUGCCAGGAGGAAAUAAGCAGUGGAGGGUAACGCACAUUAGCAGGAAGCUGGAUCAGAAGCAGAGCAGGUGGGACUUGAAGCAGCACUCCAACAUGGAAUGUCAGUGUUGCAAACUGCGCAGAACCCUCUGUGCCACAGGAGGAGAUGUGUGAAGACAAAGACCCAUCUCCUUAAACAUCCCGGCCUCAAUGGACUGCGCGCUCAGCCCUCUGCCUCUCUGCUGAGCCACCCGCCUGCCUGGCCAGGUGUAAUCUCUCCACUCAACCAUGUAACCUCGCUCCUUCCCCCCGCCGAGCGACUGGGCACUCUCUCCCAGGUCCUGUCUGGAGAGGUGCCCAUCUGUUCUUCCGGAUGUCCCUACCCUAAUAAACUUUGCUACCUUUUAUUUUCCACUA